GAGAGAGAAUGAAAACGAAAUGAGGAGAGAAAGGAGAGAGCAGAACCUGCACUGCAACCACGGGAAAGCAGAGAAGAGCGAGGGGCGUCCACGAGAGAAAAAGAGUUGGGACUUGGAAAGGGUCUGAAAAGCGCACCGGAGGCGCGCCUCUUCCAUGUCUUGAAGUCUGACUCGUAUGCCUUUUGGGCUCGACGCGUACCUGCAGCGCGCCUCGACGCGUACCUGAAGCGCGCCUCGACGCGUACCUGAAGCGCGCCUCGACGCGUACCUGAAGCGCGCCUCGACGCGUACCUGAAGCGCGCCUCGACGCGUACCUGCAGCGCGCCUCGACGCGUACCGAAGCGCGCCUCGACGCGUACCGAAGCGCGCCCCGAUGCACACUGAAGCGCGCCUGCCAAUUCCUUCACCGACGCCCAAAUAGUGGGACAAAAUCGAAAUUUGAUCUCCAUUCUCCACUAUGAAUGGUAAUAAUGUAUUAGAAUGAGUCAUCAACAGAAUAAAGUAAGAUUAUUUUUUUAGGUUUUUCCACUUAAUGCAGAAAGCUUUAAGCACGUCUUUCCGGUUGA